GGGCACGCGUGUCCGUGCGCGCGUGUCCUCGGCGGCGACCAAACGCGGGGUCCCACGCCGGGGUGGGGGUCACCGGGCGCUCUCGGGGUGCACAGGGCUGGGGGACAGCACAGGGGUGAUGCCUCCGCAGUGGCUCCCCCAGCUCGGCGCUGCAGCGCUGCCCGCGCCAGCUCCCUGCCCGCUGUGGCCGCGGUCGCCACAGCACACUGGGCACCCAUCCAUGCCACGCCGGGCACCCGUCCGUUCCAGGCACCCAUCUCUCCCAUGCCAGGCGUCCAUCUGCGCCGUCCCUGGCACGGCGCCCGAGGGAACAAUGAGUCCAGCCAGCUCCUUCCCCGCCCCGGGGGGGGCACACGCAGCUGCCCGUGCAGAACCAGGGGUGCAGCCCCCCCUGGGUACGUGCUGGGGCCCCUCCUGCCACAGCCCGGGGCUGGGUGUGGAGGGCAGGCGCUGCCCGCUGUUUGCUUUGGCACCUCCAGCGCUGCCGGACGAAUGUCAGGGAAGGGCCCUUGGAGGUUUCGUGUCCCCUCCCUGGCUCUUCUCCGGGCUCAGCAAACAGCACGAGUGGCACCUCGGCAGCUGGAGUGGCCCCGGCCAUGCCCAGUCACCCGGGAUCCUAUAAAUCCCCCGGGCUCGGGCUGGUAGAAGGGACCGGAGCACACAGCGAGAUGGACGACAGCUCCAAAGAGGCGCUGAUGGAGGAGGCACCUCCGGUAAGGAGCACCCACCACCCACCCUGGGUGUGGGGCUGAGUCCCCGCUGCCGCCCCCGGCCCUGGCAGCUCAGCCGGGUGCUCCCCUGUGUCCCCAACAGAGGUACACGGAGUCGCCGCGCCUGCCCUGCAUCCCCCACGAGCUCAAGAGCCUCCUGCUGAUGGUGGUGCUGGUGGUGGUGGCCCUCGUGGUGGUCAACGUCACCUUCCUCCUGCUGGGGCUGCACCUCAGCGAGUCACACGCCGAGACGGUGAGGGCCGGCAGGGACCGCGGGGCCACCGGCUCCGGGAGAGGGUUUGGGAUGGCACCGGAGCUUUGUAGGGAUGGGGUUCAGGCCCCGCAGAGCUCCCUGACCCCUCUCCCCCUGGCAGGUGUUGCGGAUGACCAUCCACGGGCUGGAUGGCGAGGGGACCCCCCAGCAGCUCGCCAUGAGCAAGAAGGAAAGGACCGGGACGUUCGCGGUGCGGGACGGGCUCAACGCCUCGGCCACGGUGGUGUACGACUACAGCAAGGUGUGCGGGGAGCCGGGGACGGGCGCGGCGGGGACAGGGCCGUGCUGAGCUCACCCGGCUCUGUCCGCAAACAGCUGCUGGUCGGCUACAGGUCCUGGCGUCACCGCGCCUGCUACAUCACCCGCGUGGACAAGGACAACUUCCCGGGGCUGGACGCUGCCACCGAGACCUUCCAGCGCCGGCAGGAUGAGGACAUUGGGGACAAGGCCGUGCCCCUGGCUGACCGCUCCAUCCUGGGCACCACCAUCAACAUCCUCUGCAGCAGCGUCCCCGUGUUCUGGGCGUAGCAGCAGUUCCCAGUGGGGAGGGACAGCGAGAUGAGGAUGUCACUGUCCCCCACGCCGCCUUCCAGGCGGGAUAUCCGGGAAUGUCUCCUCCUCCCCGUCCCCAUCCCGGGGGCAGCCACCCCGCCACGGGGGUGCUCCAUCUGCUGUCGCUUGGCACCGCGGCUUUCCCACUGCUCUCGCCGUAAAAAAAGUGGGAUUUGCUUUGGGAUUUGCUUCUGUCUUCAAAGUAAAGCCUGUGCCCCCGCCUCCAAGUGGUGCUCUUGUCCUUCCUGGGGUGCUGGGACAGGGAUACGGUGUCUCUUUGUGGGGUGCAGGGUGGGGGGGAGAAUCCCUCACGUUGGGGUGAGAGGAGCUCGGGAGGGAUCAAACACGGUGGGCAGCAGAGCAAUUGCACACGCUGCUCCCAGUGUCCCCAUCUGUGCCCUCCCAGUGUCCCCAUCUGUGCCCUCCCAGUUUGGAGGAUGGAGGAUGAGGUGGAAAGAGCAACCUCUGCACUUCCAGACCUUCAGGAAACGCUCCCAGCCCCGUCCCCUCCUCGUGCAGGUGGGGACAGAGGGACUGUGCCACAUCCCCCGGGAUGUCCAAGCCGUGGGUUAUCCACAAACACCACGAUCCACUUGCUCCAGCUCCCUCCCUG
rnacentral:lncRNA from 1 species